rnacentral:rRNA from 1 species
CACGCCGUAAACGAUGAAUACUAGGUGUCGGCGAGCGAUCGUCGGUGCCGGCGCUAACGCAAUAAGUAUUCCGCCUGGGGAGUACGGUCGCAAGACUAAAACUCAAAGGAAUUGACGGGGACCCGCACAAGCAGCGGAGCAUGUUGUUUAAUUCGACGCAACGCGAAAAACCUUACCAAAUCUUGACAUCCCUGUGACCGCUCAUAUAAAGUGAGUUUUCUCUUCGGAGACAUAGGAGACAGGUGG